CAGUUCUAGCCGCUGGCAUUACAAUACUCUUAAUGGACCAAAAUCUACACACAACGUUUUUUGACCCUGUAGGAGGAGGAGACCCUAUCCUCUAUCAACACUUAUUUUGAUUCUUCAGACACCCUGAAGAAAUGAAUGAUGAAGGUGAAUGCUACCAACGAAGCACUUAUCAACCUGUAUGGUAUGAAGGAAAUGCAUUCUGAGGUGAUAAAAAGGUGUUCCAUUGUGUGACACAGAGAUUGGAAAGCUGCAGUACAUACAUAAGAUGAAGCAUUCAAACAGAACUGAGAAGUAAGAUAUUGGUGGUCAAGAUUGUAUAAAGGAAAGUGUGAGUGGUGGCGUAGGGUUCCAGUGAAUUUUGGAAAUUUCAUGUGAGCUCAUGUAAGCAGACACUGGGAAGACAUUCCCUGAAACAGACUCUGAAUUUGAGGACAUCAGCUGGAGCCCCUCUCUUUUACCCAGUGUGGCUCUGGGAUUUUACCUCUGUCGUGUCGUGCACAGUGAGAUAAGGACAGGAAGAGUCCCCUCAUCUGGCUUUCAGGACUGGACAAAGACAUCCCACAUUACAGCUGAAGGAGAGUGAUACCUCUACUGUAGGAGUACUCUCAAGAACAAGAAUUUCUGCUCAUAUUGGGACAUUCCUGUAUUCUAAAAAUUACCACAGAUGAAAUUAGGUAAGAAGGGGAGAGAGAAAACUCACAUUCAUUCAGGUGAUCUUCUCAGGUACACAAGAAGAUGGUACACAAAGUGUCAGUUUUGUCCCUAUAGAUUACAUUUUAGGUAUUCAACUAAUUACCACAACUCAGAAACCAUAUGAUAUUUAUAUUUUUGUGACUGGAUAAUUUCACUAAACAUAAUGAUUUCCAGUUGCAUGCUAUUUUGAUUGGUUUGCACGGAAUCUAUAAAUUGCGUUCAGUAGUAUGGAUAUAUUGAUGAUAUUGAUUCUUCCAAUCCAUUAACAUGAAAUAUGUUUCCAUUUUUUUAUGCAUUCUUCUAUUUCUUUCUUUAAUGUUUUGUAAUUUUCAUCAUAGACAUCUUUAAUGUCCUUUUUUUAUUCCAAGGUAUUUAAAUUUUUGUAGUUACUGUAAAUGAAAUUGAUCUUAGAAGUUCUUUCUCAGCCAUGGGGCUGUUUGUGUAUACAAAGGCUACUGAUUUUGUGUGUUGAUCAUAUAUUCUGCAAUUUUACCAAACUCUUUUGUGAACUCCAGUCAUCUCUUUGUGGAGUGUUUUGGGUUCCUUAUAGGGAUAGUUUGGAUUCUCCCUUCCCUAUUUCUAUCCGUUUGAUUUCUUUUUCUUGCCUGAUGGCUCUGGCUAAAACUUUUAGGACUAUAUUAAAUAGCAAGGGUGAGAAUGGGCACCCUUGUCUGGUUACAGUUCUUAAUAGGUAUGCAUGCAAUUUUUCCCCAUUCAGUAGGUUAUUGGAAGUGGGUUUGUGAUAAAUUGCUUUGAUUAUGUUGAGUGUUCCUUCUAUAUACAAUGCUUAAGGUUUUCAUCAUAAAGGGGUGCUGAGUUUUGUCAAAGGCUUUCUCUGCAUCUAUGGAGAUA